CGCCCUUAGUUGCUACUUUGUUUUUCAUCCCCGUGUGUCUGCUUUUGGUUUUUGUAACAGCUUUUCAAUAAAGCUCGCCUUUUGUUUCCCUGAUCUUGCCUCCAUUAACUGCGUUUGGGUCCAACUCCCAUUCCUUAAUCUUCCUUUUUACCCCGACGUGACACAUUUCGACAAGAAAACAGUGUGACCUGGACUGAUGAGAGCUGUGUGAUCUGCAUUGUGCCGGAUUGUGUGUGUGUGUAUAUGAUGCUUGAGCCUCUGGUCUUUUUCUUUGCAUGGAUCCCUGGUUCCAAGAUCUCCAUGAAGACUCCUCCUGCUGGAAUCUUCCUGUUCUGUAGAGGUAGCAGGGAGGCUCAAAGGAUGUGAGGUGUUCUGCUAAUUGUGUGUAUGGUUGUGUUAACUGUGUGUAGUGUUUUGAAAAACCGGGCCCUCUAUUCGAAAUCGUGCUUCAGCAAUUGAAAAAAAACUGUAGUGUUCAAGCAGUGGGUAAAAACUGUAUUUUUGUUUUAUUCUUGCUUUAACUGAAUUUACUGUACUGCAAAAUACACUACUGUAAUGAAAUGA